rnacentral:sRNA from 1 species
CUUCCUCGAUCUGCUGCGGGCAGAUGAAGUGGAUAUGGCUGUCCAUGCCGCCGGCGGUGAUGAUCUUGCCUUCGGCAGCGAUCGCCUCGGUACCAGGACCGACGAUGAUAUCGACACCCGGCUGGGUAUCGGGAUUGCCGGCCUUGCCGAUCGCGACGAUCCGGCCAUCCUUCAGGCCGAUGUCCGCCUUCACGAUGCCCCAGUGAUCGACGAUCAGCGCGUUGGUGAUGACCGUAUCCACGGCACCGGCGGCGCGGGUGACCUGGCUCUGGCCCAUGCCGUCACGAAUG